CAACCCUCAAGCCCUGCUUGGUGUUGGGCCCUGCCCGUUGCGGCCGGCCCUAAAGUCAGUGGCGGCGCCGUCCGGCUCUAAGCGUAGUACAUCUCUCGCUCUAGGGCCCCGCGGUGACUUGCCAGCAACCCCAACUCCUAU
rnacentral:misc_RNA from 1 species